CCAUGCAUUACUAGGCGGGUCUCCUUUGGCAGUGGCCUCAUCAAACAACCAACCACUGCCAAAGGAGACUUGCCCAGCGAUGCAGCU
rfam:Triticum aestivum genome assembly, contig: Triticum_aestivum_CS42_TGACv1_scaffold_031500_1BL